CUGAAAUUCUCUGUUUCCCCCACAUCAGCUUACUUAUCCACACCCAGAAUAAUCUGGGCCCAGCUGACCUGGCCCAGAGGCUGUGUUCACACAAUCACCACACUGCACUGCAGAAGCUGGGAGCGGAGGAGAUGCAGGAGAGAGGACUCAGCGGGACCUUUGCUGGCAUUCUAGCUGGGAACUCCCAGAGCCUGGAACUGAAGUGCACGGAUGCCUGAGGAUGGAGGGGACAACUGAACCCUGAGGAAGCAUGGGUGUGGCGAAAGAUGGGACAAGAUAAGGUGGGCCGAGGGAGCAAGGAGCAGAGGAGCAGUACCUGAGUCCUGGAAGCACCUCACAGUCCACAGGAAAAGUGUUUUUAAUUUUGACAUUACCACUUGCAGCUUAGAAGAAAAUUGUUUUUCCCUCCAUUCGACUGUCAGGAGAAUUGAAAUCUCUCAAACAGAUGCUUCAUUACUCCCAUAUCAAGUACGGCAACGCAAUGAGACAGAAAAAGGAGGAAGAGCAACACAUGUUUUAAGAAAAGACUACAAUUCCAGUGUGGCCUGAGGGUCGGGAGAUGGCUCCCUAGGGAAGUGCUUACUGCGAAAGCGCAAGGAGCUGAGUUCAGAUCUCCAGCACCACGUUCAAACCUGGAGUGGCAGAGUGUGUUUGUAACCUCGGCACUGGUAUGGAGAGGCAGAUGGAGCUCACAGCCUAGAUGGACAGGCAGUGCGGUUGAAAUGGCAAGCGCCAGGCUGAAACAGACUGACUCCGUUUAAAAAAAGUCAGGUGGAGCAACUGAAGAAAGGAAAUGGAUUGGCCUCUGACCUCCCCAACACACUCUUCUUAAACACAGUACACCUGCUCGGAACUAGUAACAUGUUUAUGUGAAAAAUAAGCCAUCCAAAAUAACACAAAAACACAUACAAACAUGCUCAAACAUAAAAACAAAAUCUUAAUAGUAGUCAAGUCUCUCUGUCUCUCUGUCUCUCUCUCUCUCUCUCACACACACACACACACACACACCAUCCAGAAGAGACACUUUGAGAAGCUGAAAAAGCAAUUGUUCCUGGCAGUACCGAAAUUUCAACGAGCAGAGCUUCAUACAUGCAAGAGCUCAGAAGGCACAGGCCCUUUUUAAAGGGUCUGCCGCACUGGAGCCAGCUGCAUCUCUACCAUCGUAAGUGACAGAAGUUGCUCAAGCACAUGAUGAGGUCCAGUGUCACAUAGGCCAACAUCCUUCAUCUUUCUUGGGCACUACCUGGGCUAGAAGAAUCAACAGAAAGGAGCUCUCUUCAGAAGUGAGGCAUGCUUAAAACAAAAAUCAAAGCAGAUUGAAGAGAUAAAGAAGGAGUAGAUACGGUGACAAGAUUGGAAGCACAGUGAAGUUGGCAUCAUUGAGCUGUCUCCAUGCCAUUUUGUAGAGUUGUUCUUCUGCCUGUCCCUGCAAUUCUGGAAAUAAAUUAGCAUGUGCACACACACGGACUUCUGUGUGGGUGUGUGUGCUCGUGAGAGAGACAGAGAGAACAUCAGCAGCAGGUAUUGCCUCCGCUUCCUACUCCCUGCUCAUCUGACUAAUAUUCAGCUCCCAUACAAGAGCAGCCGUACCUGGGCUCGCAUCCAAUCAAACACGGCCAGAACUUAUUUUCAUACUCCGUCUCACGCUGUUCCAGCUCCAUAAAACACAAUAUGCAAAGUGCAAGACUGGACAGGUACAUGAACUCCGACAACAAAGGCCCUCACAUGGACAGCGAUAGCAGCUGCUCCGCAGCCUGGAAUUCCAGUGUCAUCAGCCUGCCAUCCUAUCUCAGCAGGCAAAGGAUGAAAGGCGACAUAUGGCGCCUUGGUUAUUCUAGGAGUGAAAUAAAUCACUAUGGUUCCAUUGCAACCAAGUACCUUCAUGCCUCAAAGACUAAGCUUCGCCUGUCCACUUCAUCCCAAUCCUCUUGUCACCCCCACUUGCAGCCAGUCUAUCACCUCCAAAACCAAUCUAAAAGGUGCAUGAAUGGUGCAUGUAUUUUUAAACCUGGCCUGAAUUAUUCAUUCUAUCACUAAAUUGUUGGUCUUAACAAAUGCUUCACCAGAGUCUUGCUGCAUAAAUAGGUUAACAAAGAUUUCAUGCUUUUGGAUCGUACUUUAUAUAAUGAACCUACCAUCGAUAUCCCCUGAGGCUUAGACACAAGAAACUGUCGUAAGUGUAUGCUUUAUUGGCUAAUUUGAACAACAUUUUAGCUAAUACUGAGGACUUCAUUUUGAUGCCUAAACUAAGGUAUAAUUGGCCCGCCUUAUAAUUCAAAGAGGUUAAUUCUUACAAAGGUGCCAUCAGUCUGAAAGCUUUAGAAUGCCAAGUAGCCAGAAGUAUUAGAUCUGACCCCAAGGCUACCUUAACAGGAAGGUAGCUGCUAAUUCAGUAUGCUUCAUUAUAUUGAUUGGACGGGGGUUAAGGACAUAGCUUAGCUGGUAAAAAAUAAGGAGUUCGGAUCCCCAGCACCCACAUAAAAAGUCAGGUGUAGCAGUGGGGGCCUGAAACUCUAUUACUGGGGAUGGAGACUAGCCAAGGGGGAAUCUCUAAAACUCAUUGGCUGGCCAGCCUAGCCAAAUUGGCAAAGUUCACAUUAACCAAGAGGCCCUCAUUCAAAAAACUCAAAAUGGAGAGUGAUUGAAGAUGCACAGCAUUGCCCUCUGGCCUCCACACACGCAUACACAUGUGCACAGACCCACACUACCAAGUGUCUACCCACACACAAACCCCCCCCACACACAUGCACUUUAAAGAAGGGAUAGAAGAAAGUCUUCAUAUCCACAAGCAAUUUUCCUAGUCACAAGAGGUAGCCUAAAUCAGAGGAUAAAAAUCAAGGACUUUUUAAAACCAGGCAGUCUGGGUUCAAAUCUUGCCUUCGCCAUUUAUUUUAGGUGUGUGGCCUUGGCAAAUUAACUAACCAUCCUGGUCUUGGGUCUUCAUCUCUAAAAUGGAGGUAGCAAAGACCACUCAUAGAUACGUUGUGGGAACUAAAUGAAAUGAAAGAGGCCAAUGGCUUAAAGCCACAUGGUAGACUGUAAAGGCUUCUUGUUGUCACUACCAUUGCCGUCACCUCCAGCUCGUCCUCAGUCCGAAGGAGUCCACCCUGUGCUGCAGUCAUUUCCUUGCAAAUGACUAAAGAUGACAUCAUUUGCUGCCCAUCCUUUCAGAGUGCAGAGAGGAGCGUGGUUAAGAAGCGACAUUCACAAGGAGAAGAGAGGUAACCACUCACACAAAUUGGAAAAUGGUUGGCCAACAAGCCAGAUUCUCCCUCUCAAAUGGAGAUGGUCCUAGUGGUCAGAAGGAGUUCAUAUAUGUGUUCUGUGGUCUCUGAC